UACGGGGGGGGCAAGCGUUUGUUCGGAAUUACUGGGCGUAAAGGGCUCGUAGGCGGCCCUGUAAGUCCGUUGUGAAAGUCAAAGGCUCAACCUUUGAAAGCCGAUGGAUACUGCAGGGCUAGAGUCCGGAAGAGGCGAGUGGAAUUCCUGGUGUAGCGGUGGAAUGCGCAGAUAUCAGGAGGAACACCAAUAGCGAAGGCAGCUCGCUGGGACGGUACUGACGCUGAGGCGCGAAAGCGUGGGGAGCGAACAGG
rnacentral:rRNA from 1 species